rnacentral:rRNA from 2 species
GGAUGCGAUCAUAGCAGCACUAAAGCACCGGAUCCCAACAGAACUCCGAAGUUAAGCGUGCUUGGGUGAGAGUAGUACUAGGAUGGGUGACCUCGUGGGAAGUCCUCGUGUUGCAUUCC